CGGACGGGUGAGUAACGCGUAAGAACUUGCCCUUUAGACUGGGAUAACAGAGGGAAACUUCUGAUAAUACUGGAUAAGUUAGUAUAUCGCAUGAUAUGCAAAAUGAAAGCUACGGCACUAAAGGAGAGCUUUGCGUCCUAUUAGCUAGUUGGUAAGGUAAGAGCUUACCAAGGCGAUGAUAGGUAGCCGGCCUGAGAGGGUGGACGGCCACAAGGGGACUGAGAUACGGCCCUUACUCCUACGGGAGGCAGCAGGG
rnacentral:rRNA from 1 species